AGCAUAUACAUAAAUAUUAUUAUCCAUAAAAAUGCCCAGUUCGUCGAUGCUUUAAACAGUGUCAAUUGUGGCAAAAAAAUUGAGGAAAUAUUGCGUAAAUAUAAUCAAUUAUUUUCUUACAGAUAUGUAUAUACCAAAUUAAAUUAGUUUAAGCGAAUCAAUCUUUUGGGAAUAUAUGUAUGUACAUACAUACAUACAUCUACAAACUUGACAAUAACCGAAAUGAAUAUGGAUCUGGAGCCAGCAAAGAAAUGGGAUUGCUCAAAGUGCCAAAAAACGUUUAAAACAGACAACGAGUUGACAAAGCACACGGUCAUGCACGAUCCUGAUGCUAAGGUCAAAUGUGAGGUUUGCGGCAAAAUUUCCAAAAACAGACUUUCCUUAUCCUGCCACAUGUCGACUAUGCACAACAAUCGGAAGCGGAUACGUUGUGACGCUUGUCACAGAGUGUUUACCACUUCUACGACUUUAAGGCGACAUAUUGACGCCCUUCACAGCACGAGGGAACGACCUCGCUUUCCAUGAACGUUUCUUGGCUGUGAGAAAACCUACUUAAACAAGGGACACCUUUCGGAACACGUUAGAAUUGAGCAUGCCGAGAAUCCGGUCCGGGAAAUUUGAAUAGACACAAGAUAACGCAUUUCCAAAAAUCAACCCGCGACAGGUUACACUGUCACGUUUGUACUCAGGAGGAGUACGUACGACCUUUUCAAUGCCAGAUCUUGAUGCCCUUUGGAUAUGUUG